GCGUUGAUGGUGUAACGGUUAGCAUGCUGCCUUCCAAGCAGUAGAUCUGGGUUCGAUUCCCGGUCGACGCA
rnacentral:tRNA from 1 species